rnacentral:tRNA from 1 species
GGGGGUACUGCUCGGGGGUAGAGCGUGGGCUUGGCACGCACAAGUUCCUGGGUUCAAUCCCCACUGCCUCCG